rnacentral:rRNA from 1 species
AUUGAACGCUGGCGGCAGGCUUAACACAUGCAAGUCGAGCGAGAGGCGGACGUGUGAGUAAUGUCUGGGACACUGCCUGAUGGAGGGGGAUAACUACUGGAAACUGUAGCUAAUACCGCAUACCAUCAGAUGUGCCCAGAUGGGAUUAGCUAGUUGGUGGGGUAAUGGCUGACCUCGGCGACGAUCCCUAGCUGGUCUGAGAGGAUGACCAGCCACACUGGAACUGAGACACGGUCCAGACUCCUACGGGAGGCAGCAGUGGGGAAUAUUGCACAAUGGGCGCAAGCCUGAUGCAGCCAUGCCGCGUGUGUGAAGAAGGCCUUCGGGUUGUAAAGUACUUUCAGCGGGGAGGCGUUACCCGCAGAAUAAGCACCGGCUAACUCCGUGCCAGCAGCCGCGGUAAUAC